rnacentral:ribozyme from 1 species
AAAAAAGAAAUAGUUACUGGAUUAUGAUUUUUUUUUUUUUUUUUCUU